rnacentral:rRNA from 1 species
UACGAAGGGGGCGAGCGUUGUUCGGAUUUACUGGGCGUAAAGGGCGCGCAGGCGGCUCAUUUUGUCAGGCGUGAAAGCCCCGGGCUUAACCUGGGAACUGCGUUUGAUACGGAUGGGCUAGAGUUCGGGAGAGGAGAGUGGAAUUCCCAGUGUAGAGGUGAAAUUCGUAGAUAUUGGGAAGAACACCGGUGGCGAAGGCGGCUCUCUGGACCGAUACUGACGCUGAGGCGCGAAAGCGUGGGGAUCAAACAGG